rnacentral:lncRNA from 1 species
UUUUUUUUUUUUUUGUCUUUUAGGGCCGCACCCGUAGCAUAUGGAGGUUCCCAGGAUAGGGAUCUAAUCAGAGCUACAGCUGCCUGCCUCCACCACAACCACAGCAACGCCAGAUCUGAGCCACGUCUGCAACCUACACCACAGCUCACUGCAACGCCGGAUCCUUAACCCAUUUAGCAAGGCCAGGGAUCAAACCCACAACCUCAUGGUUCCUAGUCGGAUAUGUUUUCACCGCACCAUGGGGGGAACUCCAGAACUUUUGACUUUUGUUAUUCUGAUACUGUUGGGUAAUGAAAUAAAAUAACUGAGUAACUGUAAUAGUAUUUUUCUUUUUAGGGUCACACCUGCGGCAUAUGGAUGCUUGCAGCUGCUGACCUACACCAUAGCCACAGAAACACCAGAUCCUUUAACCCAGUGAGCAAGGCCAGGGGUCAAAUCUGCAUCCUCAUGGAUACUAGUCAGGUUCUUAACCCACUGAUUCACAAAGGGAACUCUUCAAUAUUCUAAUUUUAUAAUUCAGGAUACAAAGAGAACUGGGAUUUUCAGUGUUAGAAAAAAAAAUACAUGUAGAUGUAAAUAGAAGAGUUAAGAAAAAAACCCUUAAGUCUUGAAUUUGAAUUGAAAGUUACCAAUGUGUUUUAUUUUUAUCUUUUUAGGGCCUCACCCACUGCAUAUGGAAGUUCCCAAGCUAGGGGCUGAACUGGAGCUGCAGCUGCUGGCCUACCACAGCAACGCCAGACCCAAGCCACAUCUGUGACUUCUGCUGCAGCUUGCAGCAGUGCUGGAUCCUUAACCCACUGGGCAAGGCCAGGGGUAGAACCUGCAUCCUCAUGGAUACCAGUCAGAUUCUUAACCCGCUGAGCCACAAUGGGAACUCCGAUGUGUUUUAUCUUAACAUGUGUUCUACCUUUGCAUACCAAAAAGACCUGGAAACAAUGACCAACAGAGCAGCAAUGGGCAUUCCAUUCCAGAGCCUAGAUAUACCACCAUUCAUCACUGAAAAGAAUGAGGGAUUUUGUUUUAUCCCCACCGACCCCUCUCCUAAAAACAGCUGAUUCCAGGUCUGGAGCAGAAAAUGGACAAGGUAAGUCUGGAACAUCUUAAAUAGCAAGUAAGUCACUAAACAUCACUAUCAAAAGAGUUGCAUUGGAGUUCCUGCUGUGGCACAGUGGGUUAAGAACCGGACUGCAAGCUGUUUGGGUCACUGUGGAGGUACAGGUUUGAUUCCCAGCCUGGCACAGUGUGUUAAGGGCUCAAAUUCAAUCCCUGGCCCAGGAACUUCCAUAUCCCAUUGGUGAGGCCAUUAAAAAAUAAGUUGUUGGAGUUCCCAUUGUGGCGCAGUGGUUAGCGAAUCCGACUAGGAACCAUGAGACCCUGUUUGGAUUCUCAAAGUUCUUAGAAAAAAAAAAAAAAAGACACCUAGAUGAUUAGAAAUUUAAAUUUGAGAACUUGAGUAUUUGAUAACAUUAAGGAAUUAGUGUUUUUGAUGUGUAAAUGGUACUAUGAUCAUGUACUGUAAAAAGUCCAUAGUCUUUGAAGAUAUAUAAUGAAAUAUUACAUAUGGAUAAAUUAAUGUCAGGCUAUGGUAAGAGGAGUUAAGUAGACAGUAGUAUUAAGCAAAACAAGACUGGCAACCAGUUAAUCAUCACUGAAGCUGUGACAGGUACAUGGGGGUGUUACUUGAGAUGAGAUGUGGGUGGGAGAUGAAAAUGUGAGUCACUGAGAAGGGGAUCUCAAAGGGGUCUGAAUGGUCACAGAGCAAAGACCAAGACCUCUGGGGGUUUUCUUUUG